CAAGAGAAGCCCAACGACUCGAGCCAAUCCCAUCUCGUUGUCGGCGACCAUCUAUGUCGGUAACCCGUCCAUGAACCAGCUUCUGGUCCUUCUCUUCCGGGUUGAGCAGUGGUGCUGGUACGUAGCUUCUGGUCUGCACUGAUCACUGAACAACAUCUGUCACCUAACCUCUCGACAAUGACGAGCACCAGGGUAAAAAGAAAAGGAAUAUACCGCUCGAUGGGCAUGCGGAAAGGCCCGUGUGAUUCCACCGAAAUCUCCGGCAAAGCGGUCGGGCAGAUGCUGCGUCAUGUGGCCAUGCUGUAAA
rnacentral:lncRNA from 1 species